rnacentral:rRNA from 1 species
CCUACGGGGGGCAGCAGUGGGGAAUAUUGCACAAUGGGGGAAACCCUGAUGCAGCGACGCCGCGUGAGUGAAGAAGUAUUUCGGUAUGUAAAGCUCUAUCAGCAGGGAAGAAAAUGACGGUACCUGACUAAGAAGCCCCGGCUAACUACGUGCCAGCAGCCGCGGUAAUACGUAGGGGGCAAGCGUUAUCCGGAUUUACUGGGUGUAAAGGGAGCGUAGACGGCCAGACAAGUCAGAAGUGAAAGCCCAGGGCUCAACCCUGGGACUGCUUUUGAAACUGCCGGGCUGGAGUGCAGGAGAGGUCAGCGGCAUUCCUAGUGUCGCGGUUACAUGCGUAGAUAUUAGGAGGAACCCCAGUGGCGACGGCGGCUUACUGGACUGUACCUGACGUUGCGGCUCGACAGCGUGGGGAGCACACAGGAUUAGCUACCCGAGUAGUC